rnacentral:rRNA from 1 species
AGGAUGAACGCUGGCGGCGUGCUUAACACAUGCAAGUCGAACGAUGAAGGCUGGAGCUUGCUCUGGCUGGAUUAGUGGCGAACGGGUGAGUAACACGUGAGUAACCUGCCCCAGACUCUGGGAUAAGCGCUGGAAACGGCGUCUAAUACCGGAUACGAGCUUCCACCGCAUGGUGAGGAGCUGGAAAGAAUUUCGGUCUGGGAUGGACUCGCGGCCUAUCAGCUUGUUGGUGAGGUAAUGGCUCACCAAGGCGACGACGGGUAGCCGGCCUGAGAGGGUGACCGGCCACGCGUGGGACUGAGACACGGCCCAGACUCCGUACGGGAGGCAGCAGGUGGGGAAUAUUGGCACGAAGUGGGCGCGAAGCCGUGAUGCAGCAACGCCGCGUGGAGGACGAGGCCGUUCGGUUAGUAACCUU